GAGUUUGAUCCUGGCUCAGAUUGAACGCUGGCGGCAUGCCUUACACAUGCAAGUCGAACGGCAGCACGGGGGCAACCCUGGUGGCGAGUGGCGAACGGGUGAGUAAUGCAUCGGAACGUGCCCAGUUGUGGGGGAUAACCCGGCGAAAGCCGGGCUAAUACCGCAUACGACCUACGGGUGAAAGCGGGGGAUCGCAAGACCUCGCGCGAUUGGAGCGGCCGAUGUCUGAUUAGCUAGUUGGCGGGGUAAGAGCCCACCAAGGCGACGAUCAGUAGCUGGUCUGAGAGGACGACCAGCCACACUGGGACUGAGACACGGCCCAGACUCCUACGGGAGGCAGCAGUGGGGAAUUUUGGACAAUGGGCGAAAGCCUGAUCCAGCCAUGCCGCGUGCGGGAAGAAGGCCUCGGUUGUAACCG
rnacentral:rRNA from 2 species